rnacentral:ncRNA from 1 species
AUAUGCAUGAUGAUAAAGAAGAGUAUUCUUAAUUAUGUUUUAGAGAGAUAGCGGAUGGUGGAAGCUAUUAUGUGGUUAAGAUGAAGGGAACUUUUGAGUGCUUAUACUUUGAAAGUAGGGCUAUUGCCAAGAAGGGUGGAACCGCGGAAAGAUAUUUUCGUCCCUUUA